rnacentral:rRNA from 1 species
UGCCAGCAUCCGCUGUACUCCUGAUUGUGCGAGCGUUAAUCGGAAUUACUGGGCGUAAAGCGCGCGUAGGUGGUUUAUUAAGUCAGAUGUGAAAGCCCAGGGCUCAACCCUGGGACAGCAUUUGAAACUGGUAGACUAGAGUUUUGUAGAGGGUGGUAGAAUUUCAGGUGUAGCGGUGAAAUGCGUAGAGAUCUGAAGGAAUACCAGUGGCGAAGGCGGCCACCUGGACAAAGACUGACACUGAGGCGCGAAGGCGUGGGGAGCAAACGGGAUUAGAUA